rnacentral:tRNA from 1 species
UAGCUCAUUGGUAGAGCAUUCGACUGCAGAUCGAGUGGUCUCCGGUUCAAACCCGGG